rnacentral:lncRNA from 1 species
AUGCAGUUUCUGUUCCAGCACAGCCCCAGUAUCCUCACAGCUCAGCUGAAGGCUUCAUUCGAGAUGGGCGAGCUCUGCAGACGCACAGUCACAAUCACAAUGCCAGGAGUACAUGUGGGAGGAAGUCACGCACCAGAGGGUCACACAGGAAGAAAAAAAUCCAGAACAAAAUAUGGAGAAAAGGCUGAGCAGUAUAUGUAAUCACUGCCUCAAGGUUAAGCUUCGAAAAUGUGCUGGAGAUACUUACUGAGUGACAAGGUUCAAAUACCUACUCGUACAAUGGCAAUUUUCAUCCUGUGAAUUCAACGUACUAAGAGCAGCCAGGGCUGUUAUUCACAGAGGGGUUUAAGCCACAUAAUUUGAAUCGAAUUUUCAUUUCUCAUGCACGGCUUUGAAUCAUUCCAGUACCAAGAGGAGGAAUUCAAAACCAACCCUCAAAGGUUCCCUGAAUUUGUUCCUUUAUAUUAGACAAAGAGUAAUUAAGACUAGAGACAUUUUGUUCUGUGCCCUCUUACCAGCUUCUGGUUGACUUCAACAGUAUGAUCAUCAGGUUUACUAACAAUAACUAAGCCUGCUUGCUAGUUGCAGAUGUAAACCUAGCCCAUGGCCCCUGCUUUUAAAGAGCUUAACAUAAAGUACAGAAAACCACACACACACACACACACACACUUUGAAUGACGUUGCAGUAAAUACCACCAUCUGUUGCCAAGGGUGAGUCUAACAGAAAUCAUAUUGCAACGUUUAAAAAGCUCAGUCUGUGAUGUUGACCUGCUACUUAGAUGCCUUACUUAGAGGAACGAAGGAGAGAAGAAGGCUUAUCCCUAGAGACCUGCUGGGAGGAGUGGCCUCUCUCCACCCACCCCUGAGGGUGAGGGAGAGAGGGGACUGAGAGACCCCCUUCCAUCAACUCAGAGCUUCAUUGGAAAAAUGCCUACCCAUCAUAUAACCCUUUUGCGAAGCCUUGAGAAAAAGAGCAAAAGGAAAAGGACUGCCGUUGUAACUUGGAAAUUGGCUUUAAUGUUUAAAAUCGUGAGUGGAGAAGUAAAGCAGUGCAAACACGCCGAAAUAAAAGCGAAGCGUUUGGGUCAGCCUAGUGGCUGAGGGUGUGGUUAGCAGGUGUGAGGCCCAGUGUUCAACCCCCAGAACGCUCUUAAGAGUGAAAUUCCCUUCCAUCUCAUUAUUGGAGAGAGCUAAAUUAGUUAGACAUAUUAUAGACAGACAGGGCUGGGCCCUCAAAGAAGUCAGUGCAGAAGACAACUGUGGCUGGAGGGCCAGGCAUUGAAGGUCAGGCUUUAAAACGAGAAGAACCUACUACACCCACACACUUCCUCUAUGGAUGAACAGCAGUAUUGAUAUUCUAAAUAGGCAUCAGUCAUGUGGGUGGGGACACAGAUCUUAACCCACCCCUUCCAGGAAAAUCUUUGUUCAUUCCCUUGCACUUGCUACCUGACUUCUUUCCCCCAUUUGAUCCCUGUUUAAUCAAUGUUAGCUAGAUGACUAAACUUGUAAUUUUAUUGGUUGACCAAAGUUCUGUCCCACCUUAUACCCACUUUGUGAUUUCUCAUUGGAUCAAUAUUAUCUAAUCAACGAGACCAACCCACUUUCCAGGCCCC